AUGGACGCUGUCGACUCCGUGGUGGACCCCCUCCGCGAGUUUGCCAAGGACAGCGUCCGCCUCGUCAAGCGCUGCCACAAGCCCGACCGCAAGGAGUUCACCAAGGUGGCGGCGCGGACGGUGAUCGGGUUCUUCGUCAUGGGGUUCGUCAGCUUCUUCGUCAAGCUCAUCUUCAUCCCCAUCAACAACAUCAUCGUCGGCUCCGGCUAG
rnacentral:rRNA from 1 species